UACGUAGGGUGCGAGCGUUAAUCGGAAUUACUGGGCGUAAAGCGUGCGUAGGCGGUUCGCUGUGUCCGAUGUGAAAGCCCCGGGCUUAACCUGGGAAUGGCAUUGGAAACUGGCGGGCUUGAGUGCGGCAGAGGGGGGUGGAAUUCCGCGUGUAGCAGUGAAAUGCGUAGAGAUGCGGAGGAACACCGAUGGCGAAGGCAGCCCCCUGGGUCGACACUGACGCUUAGGCACGAAAGCGUGGGGAGCGAACGGG
rnacentral:rRNA from 1 species